rnacentral:rRNA from 1 species
UACGUAGGGCGCAAGCGUUGUCCGGAAUUAUUGGGCGUAAAGAGCGUGUAGGCGGCCAGGUAGGUCCGGUGUGAAAACUCGAGGCUUAACCUCGAGAUGUCAUCGGAAACCAUCUGGCUAGAGUCCGGAAGAGGAAAGUGGAAUUCCUGGUGUAGCGGUGAAAUGCGCAGAUAUCAGGAAGAACACCAAUGGCGAAAGCAGCUUUCUGGGACGGUACUGACGCUGAGACGCGAAAGCGUGGGGAGCGAACAGG